rnacentral:rRNA from 1 species
CAGCCGCCGCGGUAAUACAGAGGAUGCAAGCGUUAUCCGGAAUGAUUGGGCGUAAAGCGUCUGUAGGUGGCUUUUCAAGUCCGCCGUCAAAUCCCAGGGUUCAACCCUGGACAGGCGGUGGAAACUGGGAAACUUGAGUGCAGAAGAGGAGAGUGGAAUUCCACGUGUAGCGGUGAAAUGCGUAGAGAUGUGGAGGAACACCAGUGGCGAAGGCGACUCUCUGGUCUGUACCUGACGCUGAGGAGCGAAAGCGUGGGGAGCAAACAGGAUUAGAUACCCCAGUAGUCCCUGUCUCUUAUAC